GUGUGUUCGAGUGGCUAAUAGAUUAAAUUAAAAGGAGUUGGUAUAAGAAACUUUACUUUGUUUCUUUACUUGUUUUGAUUUUGACAUUAAAAAAAAAAAAAUAGGACCUAAAUGUUUAGUAUGAAGCCUUGGGAGAAGGUGGAAGCUUAAGGAUGAAAAUCUAAACUAGUAGGAGGCUAAUUGGGAGGGAUGAAAGCAAGUCAUGGUCGGAUGAAGGCAAGGAAUGUGAAGGAGAUAUAAGGAGUUGAAGGCGACACUUUCAAAUCAAAGGUAGUAAGUAAGCGGUUUUGUUUGUAGUAAUGGUUGGAGCCAUAACUUGAGUAUUCGAACAAAUUUUUGACUCAAACUUUUUGGAGAAUGUACAUUUUUGUGUUAAAAAGCUAUAUAUAUAAAUUUCGUAGCAUUUGAGCUUGUAUUUUGUGAGAUAUGAAGAAAAUUGCAUGCGGGUAUAUAAAGACAAAGAUUUGAAGCGGCUGUUAGGGUUUUCAAGAUAUCUCAAGAUCCGCAAUGAAUUUACAAUUGAAAAUUGUUAUAAAAGUUAAUAAGAAUAUAUCAGUACCUCAUGUAAAAUUUGAGUUUGUUUGGACGGUCGGAUUAGGAGAUAUGAGGUGUUGAAGUUCGGAAAAAUCUCCACAUAAGAAUAUAUAAGGUUUUAGAGGAUUUUAUCAUAUUUUGGAUGUUGUUGGUUACUUGAG
rnacentral:lncRNA from 1 species